AGAUACCAAAAAAAAAAAACGACUACAUUUUCUUAUUAAUAUCUUAUUUACCACUGAUUCAUGUUAAGUAAUCUUAAGAUUAAAGUAAUCUUAAUGUUAAGGGGAGAUUCAUGUUAAGUAAUCUUAAGAUUAAAUUAAGUGUUUAUCAAUUUCUGUGUAUCGCGACUUUUAGGGUUCAUAGAUAUGUUGUAUUGAUCUCUCUAGGGUUUUAUUUUGGUUGGUUUGAAUCACGGCACGAAACUAGUACAAUCGGCUGGGGGCUUCUUCUCUGCAGGAUGAUUAGAAACUGCGACGGGGGUUUCCGGGAGAGAAUUUUAACCGGAGGUUGAGAGAUUGCAAGGAGACUUUUGGCGAUGAUUGUGUGAAUCUUCUGGGAAGAAGAGAGCGAGGGCGAAGAACUGAUCGGCUUCAUCUUCCAGUAGCCGCCAUCACUGUGCAGUUGAAGAAGAAGAAGAAGAUUUUAGCUUCUCCGUUUGAUUUGUAUCUCUGAAUCUGAGGGAAACGAUACUAAUUUCCAAAACAGCGUACAGAGACAUCUGUCUAAGCAGAUCGGAGAUAUCAUAUAUGGUUCUAGUGAUUGAUGGUCUUUGACUCAAUACGUCUUCUUUCUCCACUUCAAAUUCCCCAUCCAUAAGUGAGAGCCUAACUCUCUUUUAAAAUUACAACAUUUUUCUACAUUGGACAGAGAUACUACUAAGCAAAACCUUCAAUCUGUCCUAAUGUCUAGGAGGAACAAGAGUUUGGCGCAAGAUCAUUAAAAAAUGUAUGUAACUGUGCUACAUCCUUUGUCUUCUGAGGUCAUUUCUCGCUAGGCUAUUAUAGAUAUAGGAACCAUUCACUCAUGGAAAGUCCACUGUUGUGAAAGCUAUCUCUGCUGUGCAGACUGUUCGUUUUAAGAACGAAUUUGAGCGUAACAUUACCAUUAAGCUUGGAUAACAGGAUAAGCAGAUGCCAAUCUUUACAAAUGUGAGGAUGACAAAUGCCCUAGACCAAUGUGCUACAAGUCCUACCGAAGUGGAAAGGAAGACACCCCAAUUUGUGAUGUCCCUGGAUUUGAGAACUACAAGAUGAAACUAUUGAGGCAUGUGUCAUUCGUGGAUUGCCUGGAUAUAACGGAUUAUGAUGAUGUUAGAUACUGUUGCUCGGGGGCCAAUGUUUGCUCCAAGUGUUGGCCUUUGAUGACAGUUGCUAUAAGAGAGGACUUUGGUUUCAAAUAUAUUCUCUGGGUCAUCAGUGGACGCUGUGGAGUUCACUGUUGGGUUUGUGAUGUUAAAGCCCGAAGGUGAAACAAGACCACUAAAACCGUGUCUAUCUUUGCGUGGUCUAUGUUCAUUGCUUUCCACAUUUCAUCUUCUCCUUUUUGAAUGAAACUCUGCAUAAUGAACAAAGAUCAGCAGUUGCUGAGUACGUCCGUGUUUAUGAGGUGGUGUCCUCAAGAGCUAAAUUGUGGUUUAUUUUCUAAGUUUUAUUGUUUCUGUGACACAGGGGAACAGAAACAAUGCAAAAAAAGUUGAUCUUAUGGGUCAUCCUCUUCAUCUGUUCCUUGCGUACGGGUUUAUCUACAACCUUUUCCUUUCUGAUUUCAGAAUCACUGUCUUUGUUGCUAAUUUCAGUUUGGCUUUUCGGGAGUUACAGACAACGCAAACUAUAUUAUCAAGCAAAGGAAAAUAUGAGAAGAUACUUGGAUGAUAACAAAUGAAGGUAUGGAAGAGUGAUGAUGUAUUUUUUCCAGCGUACAUAACUUCCGUUAUCUAACACCUGCAGAUUCAGAUAGAAAUUUACUUGGGAAAUCAAUCAAAUUCUUCAGAUCCUCAUUCCUAUAACCAUUACUAAAAUCCUGCAUGGUGAAUCACUCAUUGCUCUACUUGUACCCACGGUUCUGAAUUGAUGCGUAGUAUGUUUAAGGGUUCAGAUACAGUUAUUGAAAGAGUUAUGUAUGUUAAUGAAAUGUAUGCAUGGUGAAUACCUCAUUGCUCUACUUUUACCCACGCUCUGAAUUGAUGCGUAGUAUGUUUAAGGGUUCAGAUACAGUUAUUGAAAGAGUAAUGUAUGUUAAUGAAAUGUCUGCAGGAAGAAAUAGAGAGUUCACACAAGACCAAAAAUUGAGAAGUCUAAGGAUACAUUCAGCUGGUGACUAAGAUAUGGUUUCCUCCGUGAUGUUGUAUCAACCUUUUCGCAAUGCCGGUUGGUAAUGAGUAUAUAUAGUUCCUUUUUACCAUUGAACAUUGACGUCAACAAUCAACAGACCAAACUCGAGAUAGAAGGAAUGGUUACCCAUACACGACGACAAACAUCAAGAGAAACCACCACGAAUACGGUAACCAUUGACUUCAUCAUCUGCCGUAACCACUGCCACAUAACAGAAAAUUCAUAAAUAUAGAUUAGAAACUAUACCACCAAACACCGUUCCGAUUACUAUAUGUGGUAUGGCGCAUCGAGGCACAAUAGGGUUGUUGGAUAGAAAACACCUGUAAUUUUUUUUAUCACACUUCGAUGAAUUGAACAGAUACAGUAGAUUUAAAGGCAUUUUAUUCUUAAUAUAACUAGGUUUUGAACCCA